GUAUUGUAUAAAAUAAGAAGGGAUAAGCACUCUUUGACAAGGAUGGAAGAGGCCCUUGGACCUUAGAACACACAUACAGCUAAGUCAUUGACAUCUACUUUUUGAUAUAUAACCUUAGUUGUUU